CCGUGCUCCACGGGGACUUGGCGGAUCUCUCGACCCGAACGCUUACGCGGGGUGCAGAGCCUGCUGUGAGGCUUGUGGAAAAAGGAGGAAUCGUAUAUUUGUUUAUGAUUGCUCAAGAUCUUUCGGCAAAAGCAAUCGAACCGUGUCAGAUCAGGAAUGAAGCAGCACUAAGAUUCAACUUUUGGGUGAAAGUUUUUUGAGAGGGAGAUAAAUAUAUUGAGGAAUUUGAUUUUCAUUUGACGAUAGGCAGUGGCACGG
rnacentral:SRP_RNA from 2 species